rnacentral:rRNA from 1 species
UACGGAGGAUCCAAGCGUUAUCCGGAAUCAUUGGGUUUAAAGGGUCCGUAGGCGGUUUUGUAAGUCAGUUGUGAAAGCCCAUCGCUCAACGGUGGAACGGCCAUUGAUACUGCAAGACUUGAAUUAUUAGGAAGUAACUAGAAUAUGUAGUGUAGCGGUGAAAUGCUUAGAGAUUACAUGGAAUACCAAUUGCGAAGGCAGGUUACUACUAGUGGAUUGACGCUGAUGGACGAAAGCGUGGGGAGCGAACAGG